UAACCUCAGCAAUGCUCUGCAGAGGGCCCAACUGGGGUCUCAUCUGCCUGGCUCUGGGGAUGUUCUCGGGGUCACCCUCUGUCAUCUGACAUGAGUAGGUGGCCUGUGAUGGCCUCAAGAUGCAAUUGCUAAGACACCCCCAACAAGAACGGAAGGCUGUGGCCACCAUUUCAGCUCUGUGGGAAUCGCAAAGAACUGACCCAACCAUAGCAGGUCCAAAGAGCAGAUCUGCCCGUAGCAGGCUCAAAGCAGAGAGCGCCUUUAGCUCUCUGUGAUAAGGCCCUGUGAUGGCUGCUGAGAGGAUCCAGAUGAGGCACACAGCAAAGAAGACAGUUUGCUACGGAGCAAACUACAUUCUCCACACGAAAGGGCAGACAAUAGCCAACAAGAUCGCUGUCUCAUCUACACUCUUGGCAGGCUGUAUAUUAUUUUCUGAAAUCUCUGAAACAGAGCUUUUACCUGUUCCAGGUGA